CCUACGAGCGGCAGCAGUGAGGAAUAUUGGUCAAUGGGCGCGAGCCUGAACCAGCCAAGUAGCGUGAAGGAUGACUGCCCUACGGGUUGUAAACUUCUUUUAUAAAGGAAUAAAGUGAGGCACGUGUGCCUUUUUGUAUGUACUUUAUGAAUAAGGAUCGGCUAACUCCGUGCCAGCAGCCGCGGUAAUACGGAGGAUCCGAGCGUUAUCCGGAUUUAUUGGGUUUAAAGGGAGCGUAGAUGGGUUGUUAAGUCAGUUGUGAAAGUUUGCGGCUCAACCGUAAAAUUGCAAUUGAUACUGGCAGUCUUGAGUACAGUUGAGGUAGGCGGAAUUCGUGGUGUAGCGGUGAAAUGCUUAGAUAUCACGAAGAACCACGAUUGCGAAGGCAGCUUACUAAACUGUGACUGACAUUGAUGCUCGAAAGUGUGGGUAUCAAACAGGAUUAGAUACCCUUGUAGUC
rnacentral:rRNA from 1 species